rnacentral:rRNA from 1 species
AACGUAGGACACAAGCGUUAUCCGGAGUUACUGGGCGUAAAGGGCGUGUAGGCGGACGUGUAAGUCUAUUCUGAAAGCUCCUGGCUAAACUGGGAGAGGCGAAUGGAGACUGCAUAUCUAGAGUGAGGAAGAGGAAAGUGGAAUUCCCGGUGUAGCGGUGAAAUGCGCAGAUAUCGGGAGGAACACCCGUAGCGAAGGCGGCACUCUGGGCCGGAACUGACGCUGAGGAGCGAAAGCGUGGGGAGCAAACAGG